rnacentral:lncRNA from 1 species
GCCGAGGAGAGGAAGCAGGCGCUGCGUCACCUCAAGGACGACAGCCUCAGCGUUCGUACUACCGGAAACGAGCACUUUGCCGAGUGCCAACUGCUUUGCCGAGUGCAAAAUAUCGGGCACUCGGCAAAGAGCCUCUUUGCCGAGUGCAACACUCGGCAAAGAGAAACACACGGUAAACUCAUGCUUUGCCGAGUGUCUGGCGCUCGGCAAAGAAAAACACUCGGCAAAGAAUGUUUUGCCGAGUGUCGAGCACUCGGCAAAGGGUGACACUCGGCAAACGAGCGCACGAAUAUUCAUGGCGUGACUCUUUGCCGAGUGCCUGGUCCGAGACACUCGGCAAAGAGGCCUUUUGCCGAGUGCCUAGACCAGACACUCGGCAAAAUAUACAAAUUUUUUUUCUUUAAUUUCUCUAAAAUUUUUUCUAUUGCCAUCCUACAUUCUCCUCAACAAGAUAUGUAAUUUAGGUUCUUUUAUCGAAGUGUUUGCUAUAUUUCGAUAAUUUAUUUCAUUGUAUUGUAUUUCUUGAAUAAUUCAAAUUUGAACUGCGUGGUCAUUCGAAUAGUGGAAAAAAUGAAUGAAAAAUUAUUAUUCAUGUUAAUGAGCAUGCUUUGAGGCCUUAUCAAAGAAAGAACCAGAAAUUUCAAACUUACUAUUCACGAAACAUGGCGAUUAAAUUGUGUUCAAGUCGUGUUUAAAUUGUAGAAAAGGCAAAUUUGGUCGAAAAAAUAUGAAACUUAUCGAGAUGUCAUGUUAUCAUGUGAGGACACUGUGAUAAAAUUUGUAUAAGAUUUCGUGAAAGUUUGAUAUUUACGAUGCUUAACACCUAAUCGAGUUUCAUAUAAAAUCUUACAUCUCUUUGUAGAACUUUCAAUUUAUAAGCAUCGUAUGUUGUAACUUUCACGAAACCUCGUCAGAUUUUUAUCAUAGCCUCCCCAUGUGAUAUCAUUACAUCUCGACAAGUUUCAUAAUUUUCGAUCCAUAUUUUCUUUUUAUACAUUUUAAAAACAACUGGACAUGAAGUUGGUCGUCAUGUUUCGUGGACAACAAGUUUGAAAUUUAUGAUUUUUUUCUCGAUAAGGUCUCAACGCAUCCUUCAAUAACGUGAAUAUUAUCUUUUCAUUCAUUGUUUUCCAUUAUUCGUGUGACUUGUAGUUUAAAUUUCAUGACUUGUAGUUCAAAUUUUAAUAAAUACAGCAUUUUUU